AAUGUUAACCAACAACGGAUAUAAAUACUAGACUUUAACGUCAACAUUUAACUUAACUUUUGUCACUUUUCCUUUUCACAAUAUCAACAUCCGUUAUAUUCUACAUAUGAAAGGACUGUGUUUAAUUUCUAAGUCUCGUUAGGAAUGAAAUGGGAAACUGUUGCUGUUGCUGUAGCGAUCAAGUAGACGAAGAAGAUGCAUUCAUGAAACAGAGGAAUUUCGUAAUAGACAGCAAAAUUUUUACUUUGAGUAAAUAUGGCAAGCAGGAAAGUACAGAUCCACAAAGUGAUCCAGAUAAAAAUAGGCAAUUUAAAAGUUUCAAAGAUUCAAAACAUGACAAAAACAGUAACGUAAAAAGUAUGAAGAAACACAGUUUUCGGAAGUCUAAAAUGGGUAGUUCUAGAAGAGUGAAGCCAAACAGAGAAUUUAUACGAACAUGUUCUAUGGAGGAAUUCUGUGAAAGUGUAUCAAAAUAUUAAUGUUUCUCGUUGACAAGUGCCAUAAUGCAACCAUAUCUGAUUCAUUAACUGUAAUUAUUCAAUAUCACAUUGACUUGUAUAGUGUUUCGUAAAAUAAUUUUGUUUCUAAUGUUCUCAGUGUGCAUUGCAUAUUGUUUUUUUUUAUGUUUUAAUAAUUUUUUUUUGUGGGCAUUGGUAUCUUCAAAUCAGAUAUAGAUUUGCGAAUAUCUUCUUGUACACUUUUAGAUUGAAUUUAUCAGAAAUAAAGGAUUUGCAAAAACA